rnacentral:rRNA from 1 species
CCCAGAUUGAACGCUGGCGGAUGCUUUACACAUGCAAAGUCGAACGGCAGCACGGACUUCGGUCUGGUGGCGAGUGGCGAACGGGUGUGAGUACGUAUCGGAAUCGCCUAGUAGCGUGGAUAAUUCACAGCGAAAGCGUAGCUAAUACCGCAUACGGCCCUUCGGGAAAGCGGGGACCUUCGCCCUGCCUCGCACUAUUAGGAGCGGCCGAUAUCGAUGAUUAGCUGGUUGGUGGGGUAACGGCUCACCAAGGCGACGAUCCGUAGCUGAAGAGAGGACGACCAGCCACACUGGGACUGAGACACGGCCCAGACUACGGGAGGCAGCAGUGGGGGAAUUUGACAAUGGGGAAACCCUGAUCCAGCCAUCCCGCGUGUGCGAUGAAGGCCUUCGGGGGCUAGAAGACUUUGUUAAGUGAAAGAAACGGCACGGAUAAUACCCCGCGGUAAACUGACGGUACCUGCAGAAUAAGCACCACACACCACGUGUCAGCAGCCGCGGUAAUACGUAGGGUGCAAGCGGCACCGGAAUUACUGGGCGUAAAGGGGGCAGCAGGCGGUUCGGAAAGAAAGAUGUGAAAUCCCAGAGCUUAACUUUGGAACUGCAUUUUUAACUACCGAGCUAGAGUGUGGCCGAGGGAGGUGGAAUUCCCGCGUGUAGCAGUGAAAAUGCGUAGAUAUGUGGAGGAACACCGAUGGCGAAGGCAGCUCCUGGGAUAACACUGACGCUCAUGCAGGCACGAAAGCGUGGGGAGCAAACAGGAUUAGAUACCCUGGUAGUCCACGCCCUAAACGAUGUCAACUAGCUGUUGGGGCCUUCGGGCCUGGUAGCGCAGCUAACGCGUGAAGUUGACCGCCUGGGGAGUACGGUCGCAAGAUUAAAACUCAAAGGAAUUGACGGGGACCCGCACAAGCGGUGGAUGAUGUGGAUUAAUUCGAUGCAACGCGAAAACCUUACCUACCCUUGACAUGUCUGGAAUCCCGAAGAGAUUUGGGGAGUACCGAGGAACCGGAACACAGGUGCUGCAUGGCUGUCGUCAGCUCGUGUCGUGAGAUGUUGGGUUAAGUCCCGCACGAGUGCAACCCUUGUCAUUAGUUACAUGAAAGGGCACUCUAUCGAGACUGCUGGCACAAACCGGAUAGGAAGGUGGGGAUGACGUCAAGUCCUCAUGGCCCUUAUGGGUAGGGCUUCACACGUCAUACAAUGGUCGGGACAGAGGGUCGCCAACCCGCGAGGGAGCCAAUCCUGCAGAAACCCGAUCGUAGUCCGGAUCGCAGUCUGCAACUCGACUGCGUGAAGUCGGAAUCGCUAGUAAUCGCGGAUCAGCAUGUCGCGGUGAAUACGUUCCCGGUCUUGUACACACCGCCCGUCACACCAAGGAGUGGGUUUUACCAGGAAGUAGUUAGCCCAACUGCAUGAGUGGCGACACAUCACCGCAGGAUCUUACGACUGGGGUGAAGCCAGAAUAAGGUAA